rnacentral:rRNA from 1 species
GUGGGGAAUCUUGCACAAUGGGCGAAAGCCUGAUGCAGCAACGCCGCGUGGGGGAUGAAGCUUCUCGGAGUGUAAACCCCUUUCGACCCGGACGAAUGCCCGCAAGGGUUUGACGGUACGGGUAUAAGAAGCCCCGGCUAACUACGUGCCAGCAGCCGCGGUAAGACGUAGGGGGCCAGCGUUGCUCGGAAUUACUGGGCGUAAAGGGUCCGUAGGCGGUGCGGUAAGUCGGGAGUGAAAUCUCUGGGCUUAACUCAGAGGCUGCUUCCGAAACUACCGUGCUAGAGUGCGAGAGAGGCAAGUGGAAUUGCGGGUGUAGCGGUGAAAUGCGUAGAUAUCCGCAGGAACAUCCGAGGCGAAAGCGGCUUGCUGGAUCGCAACUGACGCUGAGGGACGAAAGCUAGGGGAGCAAACAGGAUUAGAAACCCUAGUAGUCC